GCAACGUCGCCCCCCUUUCACUUCCUCUGGCGGUUGGGUGGCUCCUCUUUCCGGUUGCUCGAGGCGUCUUCUUGCUGCCAUCAAUGCGUACCGCGCCUUGCGUUAUUCGUCUUGCUGCAUCUGUGGUGGUGAUGGUUGGGAUUUGCUUGUGAUAAAUUGCACACAGUGUCUAUAAUAUUGCUCUAGAACCUGAAUCUUUUGGGGGUUUGUUGCUACAUAUGUGAAGAUGCUUAGUUUGUAAAGGAAGAUCAGGAUCUCAGGGCCGUAGGGGAAGUCAAAUGACUUCAUUAUGUUGCUUAUGCAAAUCAUAAAAGUGAAAAGCAAUCCUGAAGAUUAGUAAAGAGAAAAGAGAGACCCAAAUAUUAUUGGUUAUGUGACUACCUUUUUUGAAGCCAUUGGAUAAGCUUUGGUUAAUGCCCAUCUCUACUGAAGGGAUCUUGACAGGAGUAUGUGUGAUGAUAACUAUUCUUCAUCAAAAUCCAUCCUUUUGCCGAUCUCUUGAUGAUGUGCCCUAAGUCCCGCGGAUAAUGGAGAUCGCCCAGGUCAGUAUACUCUACUAAAU